UUCUGGCUCAGGAUGAACGCUGGCGGCGUGCCUAACACAUGCAAGUCGAGCGAGAAACUCAUGACCAAUACUCGGUAGCGUGAUGAGCGGAAAGCGGCGGACGGGUGAGUAACGCGUAGGCAACCUGCCCCUUGCAGAGGGAUAGCCUCGGGAAACCGGGAUUAAAACCUCAUAAUGCGUAACGGAGACAUCUCCGAUACGCCAAAGAUUUAUCGGCAAGGGAUGGGCCUGCGUCUGAUUAGUUAGUUGGUGGGGUAACGGCCUACCAAGGCAGCGAUCAGUAGCCGACCUGAGAGGGUGAUCGGCCACAUUGGAACUGAGACACGGUCCAAACUCCUACGGGAGGCAGCAGUGGGGAAUAUUGCACAAUGGGCGAAAGCCUGAAUGCAGCAACGCCGCGUGAAGGAUGAAGGCCCUUGGGUCGUAAACUUCUGUUCUAAGGGAAGAUAAUGACGGUACCUUAGGAGCAAGUCCCGGCUAACUACGUGCCAGCAGCCGC
rnacentral:rRNA from 1 species